UUUGCCUAUAUACUAUAACUGUUACUUUCGGGUAACUAUGAUACAAAACGUUGUUACGGAAUAAACGUUUAUGGACCCGGGGGCAGUGCCCGGCGGCUCCACCACAAAAGCAUUGAAAUCAUUGGUGUUUUUCUGUGGGGCCGAAACAGGAUCGACAUGCGUCAUAAAGGUAAUAAGCGGUAUCCGGGAUGGCACCUACGUAUUGGGCCAACGCAUUAUAAAUGCAAACGAUAACUUUGUCGUAGCAAAUGAUAACAACCUAGCGGUUGCCAUCGCUGCCUAAUUGGAUUUAUUCCAUUUAGCGUAGUUAGUAGCUACACACUGAAUUCCUUUGACCUUGACAGUCUUAGGUGGGGUAUGGGCCGACCUCGCAACAGAACAGGCCC
rnacentral:tmRNA from 1 species